AAACCAGCACCUCAGGUGGUCAGGAUGAUUAUUGGGCCUAAAGCAUCCGUAGCCGGCUCUGUAAGUUUUCGGUUAAAUCUGUACGCUUAACGUACAGGCUGCCGGGAAUACUGCAGAGCUAGGGAGUGGGAGAAGUAGACGGUACUCGGGAGGAAGUGGUAAAAUGCUUUGAUCUCUCGAUGACCACCUGUGGCGAAGGCGGUCUACUAGAACACGUCCGACGGUGAGGGAUGAAAGCUGGGGGAGCAAACCGGAUUAGAAACCCGUGUAGUCC
rnacentral:rRNA from 1 species